CGAUAACGAACGAGACCUUACUCUGCUAAAUAGCCAGGCUAGCUUUGGCUGGUCGCCGGCUUCUUAGAGAGACUAUCAACUCAAGUUGAUGGAAGUUUGAGGCAAUAACAGGUCUGUGAUGCCCUUAGAUGUUCUGGGCCGCACGCGCGCUACACUGACAGAGCCAACGAGUUCUUCACCUUGGCCGAAAGUCUUGGGUAAUCUUGUUAAACUCUGUCGUGCUGGGGAUAAAGCAUUGCAAUUAUUGCUUUUCAACGAGGAAUGCCUAGUAAGCGCGUGUCAUCAGCAUGCGUUGAAACGCCCCUGACCUUUGUACACACCGCCCGUCGCUACUACCGAUUGAAUGGCU
rnacentral:rRNA from 1 species